rnacentral:rRNA from 1 species
UACGUAGGUGGCAAGCGUUGUCCGGAUUUACUGGGCGUAAAGAGCGCGCAGGCGGUCGGAUUAGUCGCGUGUGAAAGCCCCCGGCUCAACUGGGGAGGGUCACGCGAUACUGUUCGACUCGAAGGAAGGAGAGGGAAGUGGAAUUCCCGGUGUAGUGGUGAAAUGCGUAGAUAUCGGGAGGAACACCAGUGGCGAAGGCGACUUCCUGGCCUGUUCUUGACGCUG